GGCACUGUGGCAGAGUGGUCUAUUGCACGGGCCUGCAAAGCCUUGGCUCACCGGUUCGAAUCCGGUCGGUGCCU
rnacentral:tRNA from 1 species